CCCUUAGAUGUUCUGGGCCGCACGCGUGCUACACUGAGUGGAUCAGCGGGUCAGGUUGCGCGAAAGUGUUUCCUAAUCUUUAAAUCCGCUCGUGAUGGGGAUUGACGGUUGCAAUUUUCCGUCAUGAACGAGGAAUACCUUGUAAGCGCGGGUCAUCAUCCCGCGCUGAAUACGUCCCUGCCCUUUGUACACACCGCCCGUCGCUCCUACCGAUUGAGUGGUCCGGUGAGGCUUUGGGAUCUGAGCGGAAAGAGCGUUUCGCUGUUUCUGCCCGGAAAACUCAGUCGAACCUUAUCAUUUAGAGGAAGGAGAAGUCGUGACA
rnacentral:rRNA from 1 species